CUCUUACUUAUAUAUUUGUAAGUAAUACCUGCUCAAUGAAUAUUUAAAUAGCCGCGGAAUUUUAACUGUGCUAAGGUAGCAUAAUCAUUAGUCCCUUAAUUAGGGACUUGUAUGAAAGGUAAAACAUUUUAAUCUCUUUCUUUGUCCUUAAAUUUUAAGUUAAAUUAAGAAUAAAAAUGUUCUUAUUUUUAAAAUAGACGAUAAGACCCUUUUGAACUUUACUGAUGUUUAGCUGGGGCAGCUAAAUAAUAAUAAUCUUACUUUAUAUAUUUUAUUAGAUGACCCAAAACAUUUGAUUAGUAGAUCAAGUUACCAUAGGGAUAACAGCGUAAUUUCUUUUUAAAGCUCUUAUUAAAAAAGAAGAUUGCGACCUCGAUGUUGAAUUAAUGUCUCUUUAUAGUGCAAUAACCUUAAAAGUAGGUCUGUUCGACCUAUAAAACAUUACA
rnacentral:rRNA from 1 species